UGGAAAGAGCUAAUAAUAAAAAAAAGAACACCAAACAAUCAGCACAUAAAAGCGUACAGCCUCCAUAAAAUAACACAUUUUUCUUUUCUUAACGUUUCAGCUGUCUGAAAAAUACUUUUCUGGUGUAAAAGAGAUAACUAUAUAUCUUCUGAUUUUAUUGGCUGCAGAUUACACUAAUUAUCAUAAAAAAUUACUACCACUAAUAAAAAUUCUAUUAUAAGUUACUUAUAGUAAUCUCUAGGGUACUAUACUUAGCUUAGAAAAGAUCGUAAUUACACUGCAUUACAGGGAGAAUUUGUUUCCUGAAGCAGCUUUAACACUAUCUGUUUCUUUUAACACUUUAAAGUUGCCUUUUUUUUUUUUUUUUUUCCUCUUUCCCUUUUCAGGUCAAAUGUUGCCUGUUAUUUUCAUUGUGCAGGAUGUGAUUUUGUCCCAGAAUAAUGAUCCAUCUCUGUUGCAAGUGACGCAAAUGAAGUUUUAAAAUCACAAAUAUCUGGGUGGGUUUCACCUCCCGAGGGGGUUAGCAUGUCUCAAUGGAAGGAUGCAUGAAAGGGAAGACCUAGCUCUCUCCGCCCAAAGGGAAACGCACUCAGUAUAAAAUUGCUGGAAGCCGGUGGGUGUUCACAGAAAAUACAAUGUUCGGAUUUUAUUUGACAAGACAACAAUUGUUAUUUUCCCUUUUAGAUACUUUGCAUUUUACCAUCUGUGAGGUUGAUGACUCUUAAAUGACCUUAAAUCAUACCGCUGUUAAUAGCAGCGGUUACAGCAAAUGUGGGAUUCUGUGCGCUACCUGCUUGGACUGAACAUCAAAUUAAAUGGCUUUACUUUGAUGGCCAACGCUGUAGUAAAUAACCUCCAAGCCCAACUAAUUAAAAUAAAAUUGAAACGGUGGCCAUUUCUUUUAGAAAGGGUUUCAAUGCUUCAAUAGCAGGGCUAAUCAACAUCUUAAUUAACAGUCAUAUAAAAUGAAAUAGCCCAUUUGAGUUGCUUUAAAAUAGACAACUUAUUUAUGCAAAGACUAGUGGCAUAUUAAUUGCCAACUCUAAGAAAAAAAUACGUCUUUGAGCUUUACAGCUUCCUUUGCACCAAAGGAUUUGAGAACUAAAUUGUGGAAAAAGCGUAUUACAGAAGUUAAUUUUAUGACAGACACGAACCAGAGGCACAAGCAAAUGUGGCAUGCAGGGCUCGUCCUGGCGAUGCUGACCAGAGCAUCUUUGACCAGUACAACAGUGAACUCAAAGCACACGGCUCAGGAUCUUGAGUGAUGCUUCUCAGCGUUGCAGUGGGCCACUCGGGACUCCAUGGGACCGAACCUUCUCCCUGGUCUUGGAGCAUCUGACCCAGGCCAACAAUCAAAGGGCUACUUGUGUGAGCAAGCAUUUCCAGGAUCAGGUCCCAAAUGACUCAUCUGCCCCAAUUAGGCUACCUCAGAAAAGGUUUCCACCUUUGGUCAUCAGCCAGCACUGACUGCAAGCCGGCCCACCCAUCCCAGCACAGAGGACAGGAGGAUGUGGGAACCAAACUGGGACACUCAUUGCUGGGACCACGUUGAGCCUGAAGCACGCUGUCAAGGCAACGUGGAAACAAGCUGUACGUGCUCCACAAAGAUCCACCUCUCUGCUGUCAGCCUAGCUCUGCCCACAAGCUCUGCAUUUCAAUAACCUCACCUUCAGAAUUUAGAAAGCAAAAAGAGGGUCUGAACAUCUUCAGUUUAUCUGAGGCUUAGUCAUACAAUAGAUUAAACCAAGACAACGUCAAGAAUAGUACAAAGGUUGUUCCAAAAGUAAUGCCUCCUAUGCUGCCAAAUCUGAUCUUGAGAAUGAAUUCAGAUUCUUCUUUUUUUUCUUGGUACAAACACUCGCAGCCCUGAGUAUCUUAUGGGGUUUGAACAAUAUCCAGAAGACUGAUAUAGCAGCAAAUCUAUUAAAGCUUUGCCCCAAAGGAAAAUUAGGACUUAUUCUCUUCCUCCUGUAGCAAAACUGAAUGCUUCAAUUCCAUGUGUGUUUUUCAUUUAAUGCAUAUGUCAAUAUUCUUUAAAAAGCACUGUUUCUAGCAGAAAAAUCUGUGCCUAGGCAAAAUCAUUCUGUUUAGGUACAUGCAGCUUCUCUAAAAACUUGCAACUCUGCAAGAUUUUGGUCCAGUGUGAAAGUUACACUGGGAAAUGCUUUAUUCUUCCACCUGACCACAGUCAGGCAGAAAAUGAAUCAUGCAGAUAAUUCAAAACACUCCCAGCAGAUCAAAUGCAACAUGACCUCAUGCAGCAUGCCCCACGUGGCCCUGUAUGGCUAACGCAGUGGUCUGCAUAAGCAACCAAACGUGGAAGAAGAGGGAAAAAGAGGAGAAAUUUCUUUUUGGUUCUCUCAGGAAAAAAAAAAGCAACACAUGUAACAACAUCCUAAAAUGCGAGAUAUCCUAUCGAAGCAACCACUGACUCUUCGGUGGAAUAAUAAUUCCUUCGAAUUAUUUCAGUUUCCUGUGUGCAUUUAGUACAUAGCAGCACAAUGCCAUUCAAAUAGCAUGAAAACGCAUCCUGCUUUUAGAAAAAUUCCACAGUUCUUUACCUACAGUAAACCAACACAACAAAAAGGUCCAACUCUCAAACACAAAAAUUAAAUACAAAAUACACCCAAGCUUGUGGACUUAAUUUUACCCCAAUUCAGCUACCACCUGAAAAAGUUGUGCAACACAUUUCUAAACUGUCAACUGCUAAUUUCUCCCCUUCAUGACUCUAUGAGCUGUGGGGAGAGAAGUGUGGGAGAUGUCUCUCUCAAGAGCAGCCCCUGGCUCCCAGGUCAGCACUGCCCCUGGCUUUACACGCUGCUGCUGAAGGCCUCUUGCAGAACACAUCCCUCCCGAUCUGAAUGCCAUUUUGGUGAAUUCAGAACAAUCCCAGAAAUGUAGCCAAUCCAACAGUGCUAAUGGGGGCUUUGUAUAGAUUGCUGAUUAAAAACUACAAUAUCCAAUUUCAAUGUAAAUGAGGGAAUCUUUUUCAAAUUAUCGUGUUAUGCAUGGUAAUCUGAGGUAAGAUGGAACCAUUACCAGCUUUGCUGGGGCUGAGAUCCUCCCAGAUGUUUUCCGUAGAGCAUAA